UGGUGCGGUCAUACCAGCGCUAAUACACCGGAUCCCAUCAGAACUCCGCAGUUAAGCGCGCUUGGGCCAGAACAGUACUAGGAUGGGUGACCUCC
rnacentral:rRNA from 1 species